CCUUCGAUAGCUCAGUUGGUGGAGCAAUGGUCAUUGUGAAAAAUAAAUGGCCAUGGUCGUUGGUUCGAGUCCAACUCGAAGGG
rfam:Glossina palpalis gambiensis isolate 146720 unplaced genomic scaffold Scaffold51, whole genome shotgun sequence.